rnacentral:rRNA from 1 species
CAGUAGCCGCGGGAAUACAGAGGGUGCAAGCGUUAAUCGGAAUUACUGGGCGUAAAGCGCGCGUAGGUGGUUUGUUAAGUUGGAUGUGAAAUCCCCGGGCUCAACCUGGGAACUGCAUCCAAAACUGGCAAGCUAGAGUAUGGUAGAGGGUGGUGGAAUUUCCUGUGUAGCGGUGAAAUGCGUAGAUAUAGGAAGGAACACCAGUGGCGAAGGCGACCACCUGGACUGAUACUGACACUGAGGUGCGAAAGCGUGGGGAGCAAACAGGAUUAGAGACCCCUGUAGUCCCUGUCUCUUAACC